rnacentral:misc_RNA from 1 species
UUAAACAAAAAUCUACUAAAUUAAACCAUAAAAAAUAGUACUCUAAGAUAAUAAUGACAAGUUAAAAAAGCUACUAAUUCAAGCUUUGCCGGUUCACCAAUAAGGGACUCAAUCAGAAAACAUCACGAAAUGGAAAUCCAUAGGCUUAAGAUUCACAUUGCAUGCUAUGUGUUUCCUAAUCCAGAAUGGCAGAUUUAUCAUCAAAACCAAAGCCAAGCUCUGUAAGCCUCAUUUUUCCAUGAAGGAUAUCCAACAAUUGAGGCACCUGAUCUUGAUACUUGAUC